CAAAGUUCUGUGUCCAGGGAAUCUGUCCCUGAGCUGUUCCUGUGAUUGGCCUUUAAUGGUACACAUGGAAGAUGAGCCAAUCACAGGGACACCUGCUACAUUUCACAGCAGCUGAUAACAAUUGUUUACAUUCUUCUUCUGGGGCUCUGCUUCCCAGAAGAUGGACAAAUGUGAAAGAAAGGAUUUCUAUGAAAAAAUGUCUGCGACAGGUCCCUUCCAACCUGUGAUAUUCUGUGGUUGUGUUCUAGGUUUCUCUCUUGAUUUUCAUCAGUGCCUGGCUACCUGAUGAGCUGGUAGAUUUGAUUUGAUACUGCUCUAGUUGCAACCACAUUCACUGGACUAUGAAUCUUGUGAGGGUUUAAUAUAAAUUAAGAGAACAAUUGAAAGCUGAAAUGAACCCCUGUGGACUGCUGGAAUAAAAAGCAAUUAAAAAAGGGAGGGGGAAGAUGCCAUCUUCUGUAUCCAAUUGUAUGUAUGAACAAGGCCCAUGGGAAUUCCUCCACUGCUGUGACACUCAUUGCCUUUCUGAAGGGUUCAAGUCAAGGAGGUUAUGUCACCAUUUUGUGUUUGCCUGGGAUGUUGAGUACUCCUACCUUGCUUUCAAGUUCAUGCAAAGAGCCAUAAACUGCUGGUGCCCCUUCAUCUCCUCCCCAUAUCUUUUGCUUGUAUUAACUUUAUUGUUUGCCAUGUGUAUUUGAGUCUCUAUUUAUUUUCUGUGGACUCAGAAGUUUAUGAGAUAUUUAUUCUGCCCAAACUCUCUCUGUAUUUUAGAUUCUGUAUUAUGUUAGUCUCUUCAGGAGCCCAAGCAGCUGGCUUAUAUUUCAGCACUGAACAAACAUGUGCCGAAGGUUAAUUCUAGGGGGUUUUUUCUGAGAGUUUCUCUCUGAAUGCUUCAGAUACCAGCCAUAGACUGUAAAUCACUGGAAUCCCACCCCCUGCCCCCGCAUUCAGAUUGAUCCAAGGCACAUUAGCAAAUACUUCUAGGGGUUUAUUUGUGUUUUGGUGGCACGUACAGAUUUGUGUCUCAUUAUUCUCAUUCAAAUUUCUUUACUGCUUUUCUCUAAACAAACAACAUUGAAAACAGCAUUUCAGAAUCGAAUAUUGAGAGGACCAAAGCUACCUUCCGACCACCUUCUUUUUCUCCUGGCACACACUGUUUACAGCUCCAGUCUCUACUUAAAGCAAACUUGCUCCAUAGCUGAGAAGUUGGUUCAUAAACAGUCAAGUCAUAUUUACAAGAAAGCUGCUUAACGACAGUCCCAAGCAAAGGAGGAGAAAAAGCUCUUUCCUGAUUACAAUGAGUUUAACUCUUGUAUUGUAACCUCAUGAAUUCUGUUACUCCCAUCCCUCAGCAACUUACACUUCAGACAGCAGAUGAAUGGUGGAGCUUUGUUGAUGGUUGUACUCGUUGCUAGGGGACAGUCUCAGGGGGGUGAAUCAUGCCAUUUACAGUCAGCCUAAAGGAACAUUUGGAAAUGUCUGAGCUUAGAAAGUUCCCUCUCUAGUCUGUCCUUGGAAAUCGAGUGCUUGGUGGCCGUGAAAACUGCUUUAGAAAUAGACAUGAUGAUAACGAAGGCAUUAAACAUACUGGUGUCUUUAGUAGCUUGUAACUAUGUCGGUAUCUUAAAUCACAAUUCUGGUGCUUUUUAAUUGUUUGAUAAUUAUGUUCUUAGUUAAAAGCUGACCAUGUGAAAUGGUAUCAAAUCAAAAUUAUUUCAAGUCACAUUAAAAUUAAAUACUACAAAUUUUCAUCAUUGCUCUACUGUAAGAAUGCAAUUGCUUGUAAAUGUCUGGAUCUGAACUUUCUCGGAUAUAUUCAUUGGUAUUUAUUUUAUUUUACCUGCUCUGGGAAGGCGGCAGCUUCAGGUACCAUCAGAAAGGAGAACUUGACCUAUAGUAGGUGGGUGAGGUUUAACAUGAUACAUCUCCGGUGGAACACAGGUGGGUGAAUAAAAGUGCUCCCACUAUAAAUGCUAAGGCA
ensembl:lncRNA